ensembl:lncRNA
ACCAGUGUUGACAGUGCAGAGUAAAACCAGUGUUGACAGUGCAGAUAAAGACCAGUGUUGACAGUGCAGAGUAAAACCAGUGUUGACAGUGCAGAGAAAACCCAGUGUUGACAGUGCAGAGUAAAGACCCAGUGUUGACAGUGCAGAGUAAAGACCCAG